rnacentral:rRNA from 1 species
GCAAACAGGAUUAGAUACCCUGGUAGUCCACGCCGUAAACGAUGUCGACUUGGAGGUUGUGCCCUUGAGGCGUGGCUUCCGGAGCUAACGCGUUAAGUCGACCGCCUGGGGAGUACGGCCGCAAGGUUAAAACUCAAAUGAAUUGACGGGGGCCCGCACAAGCGGUGGAGCAUGUGGUUUAAUUCGAUGCAACGCGAAGAACCUUACCUACUCUUGACAUCCAGAGAACUUAGCAGAGAUGCUUUGGUGCCUUCGGGAACUCUGAGACAGGUGCUGCAUGGCUGUCGUCAGCUCGUGUUGUGAAAUGUUGGGUUAAGUCCCGCAACGAGCGCAACCCUUAUCCUUUGUUGCCAGCGGUUAGGCCGGGAACUCAAAGGAGACUGCCAGUGAUAAACUGGAGGAAGGUGGGGAUGACGUCAAGUCAUCAUGGCCCUUACGAGUAGGGCUACACACGUGCUACAAUGGCGCAUACAAAGAGAAGCGACCUCGCGAGAGCAAGCGGACCUCAUAAAGUGCGUCGUAGUCCGGAUUGGAGUCUGCAACUCGACUCCAUGAAGUCGGAAUCGCUAGUAAUCGUAGAUCAGAAUGCUACGGUGAAUACGUUCCCGGGCCUUGUACACACCGCCCGUCACACCAUGGGAGUGGGUUGCAAAAGAAGUAGGUAGCUUAACCUUCGGGAGGGCGCUUACCACUUUGUGAUUCAUGACUGGGG